AGUGGUAUUACUACAGCAGUGUCACAGAGCCAAAGGCCUCAGUCUCACCAGUUACCACCAUCAGUAUGUCCAGCUUGGUGCUGUUUCUAAGAGAGGUUCUCAGGGAGGUCCCUGGAUGGCUGCUGUGGUUUGGGGUCUUCCUGCCUGUCACUCUGCUGUUGAUACAGAUCAUGGUUUACCUGAAUUGGAAGCUGAAGGAAGUAGAGGCAGAGUUGUCUGCAGCACCUUACCCCAGGGACAUGGCCUCCAGGCAGCACACCAGAACCACAUCACCCAGGCAGAGACGACGGGCUGGGGGGAGAAUGUACACCUAAGAAUGGGAAGUGUGGAUGGCCCCACGCUGGAUAUUGCCCUGCUGGGUACAGUACAGCCUUCUGAGAACUCAUAUGCAAACAGAACAGUGUCACAGUGAGAGUACAGUGGAUGGAGAUGCUGACUACAAGUAUUGAGGACUAUCCACCACCAGAUCAUGGAUAAAACACGAGCUAAGCCAUGGAUUGAGUGAAGCAACAACCAAUAUGGAAUUCCAAAUUACGGUUAACAAGGUGUUGGAAUGCAGAGACAAAGUGCAUUUUUUAUUGCUGCAAUUAUAGUGUUUAUUAUACCUUUCUAAGAAUGGUUCAAGAUAUUUUCAAAAUAUUUCCUUAUGGUUGAAAAGGUUAAGAAACUGAGAAGUCCACAAAAAGCUUUUGUUAAAGGGUUACUUCAGUGUUUUGGUACUGAGGCCCUUUAUCUACUUCCGCAGAGUCAGAUUAACUUGUGGAUACCGUUUUCAUGUCUCUGCGUGUAGUUUUAAGGAAGUUGCUAGCAUGCUAGCAGAUACCCAUAGACGUCCCAUGUAUUGUAUUAAAGAAAGUCAUUUUUGUGAUAACAUAUUUACUUAGGAUCUCACUUGGUGAAGGCCAAAAAACUGAACAUUGAAUGCAACAACCAUGUCUCUGUCACUAACACAUACAGUCAUGGGUGGUAACUCUACAAUUCAUUCGAAAGGCAAGGCACUCUGGAAAAUAUGCAAAUAAGCCUUUACAGUAAGAGGCGCUUUACAGUAGCAUUAUUAGUACAGUAAAUCAAAUACAGUAACAGUAUUAGAUACCAUAAAAUACAGUAUGGUAAAACUGUUCCUUUUUAUUUUACAGUAACUUAUAGGAAACUGGCUGCCAGUAAGUUACUGUCUAAACAACUUUUCUUUUUGCACAGUGCAUAUUUUCUAGUGUGUAGUUCCAGUAGUUAGCUACAUUGCAAAAAAAGUAAUUAACUACUGAAAACACUAACUAGAUUUGAAUUUUGUUCAACUACCACCAAGCUACUGCAAAAUGUAGUUCAAUUACUAGCUGAACUACAUGUAGUUCACUACUCCCUAACACUGGUAAAAAAGGAACCAAACUCAUCCAAUCAGAGAAUAACAACAUUUUAUUUCAACAGUGUUACACAGAGGGUGGGGUGGCUGUGGGGGAGACAACAUUUUAAAGCUGCUAAAAAUCUAAGAUUAUUUGCUAUACACUGGGCCCAAAUAGCAAAUUGGUGAGGUUUGUCAGAUUGCAGAGAGAGCUAAGGCCAGCCAUCUUCUUUACCUACAGGUAAAAGAUAAAAACAGUGGCAAUUUUGUGUAUUUCUUUUAGUUGUCAAAAAACCUCUGAAAUAUAUUAAAAAUAUUUAAGAAGGGGCAAAAAAAAAACACAUCAUCUAAAUCAGUUUACUGAUUGACAAAGAAAGAUAGCAAAAAAAUAUAUAUGUUUCUACAAAUAUAUUUCUGAUUAAUGAUGCCAGAAAGUUAUGGAAAAGCAAAAGUUUCCAAGCUGCCUAAGUGUUUCAUGUUUAAAAUGUAAAUUUUGUUGUGUUUUUUCUGAGGGAGGUACAGGAAAAGCACCUGCCCUUUAAAGGAAUGUUUUUGUUAUGACUGCAUAGAGAAGAACAUGUGUUGGCACUGUAGUGCAAUGUACAAAAUGACACAGCGCUUCGUCCUUUGCUAGUCCCUUGGAAACUCACCCAAUUAAAUACAAUUUGCUGUUCCUCCUUUUCCCCAGAAACUGAUAAACAUUUGACUCUAAGAGAACAUGGAAGAAGACCAGGACCAAAGCUAAUAUAAUAUAAUACCUGUCCACCUGCAACUGCAUGAAUACAGGAAGAUAGAUAUUGAAAUGACUUUCUCAUAACAUUACCCGUCUGUACAUACUAGGAAUGUGAAUACUACUCAACAAUAAAAAUGACCACUUUUUGGUUCUAAUAAUG